rnacentral:lncRNA from 1 species
CUGUGAUGAGGAGGUGAAGAAAUGAGCCUGCUGAGGAAGCUGGUAUGAUAAUUUAGACAAAACAAAAACUAGCUUGUAGUAUGAUAAAAUGGAAAAGUGGAAGAAAAGACAUGCACUUGAAAGUUUAUUUGUGUUUCAUACAAAUAAUUCAUCAGUCCUACAGGGUGGGAGUUUGUCUCCUUGGGACACUGCAUCUUCAGGACCAGAGAGCUGAUGGAUGCUCUAGAUCAAUGAAUCAAUCUCAGAAAGAAACAUAUUUAACAGAAAAACCAAGCAACCAAUCAACAACAAGCUGAGAGUGAAGGAGAGAAACUAGAAGAAAGGCAAUCCUGGAAUUGGGAUUGGUUGUAACAGAACUCUUGUGUGCUAGACUGGUAAGUGGGAGAGAUGGGAUUUUUGGAUUCUGGACCACUCAGACCCUGAAAACCUCCCAGGAAAAAGCUUCAGUGGGUCUCAGACUGUGCAAACCCCAGCCACAACGGAAUGCUUUAUUGCCGUCUGGAAGUGUUUAUUUUCUGAACGUAAAUUCAGGGGACAGAUUCAAGGCAUGUCUAGAAAUAAAGCAUAUCAUCAUGUGAGCCA